rnacentral:rRNA from 1 species
CCUACGGGCGGCAGCAGUGGGGAAUAUUGGACAAUGGGGGCAACCCUGAUCCAGCCAUGCCGCGUGUGUGAAGAAGGCCCUCGGGUUGUAAAGCACUUUCAGUGAGGAAGAACGCCUGGUGGUUAAUACCCAUCAGGAAAGACAUCACUCACAGAAGAAGCACCGGCUAACUCCGUGCCAGCAGCCGCGGUAAUACGGAGGGUGCGAGCGUUAAUCGGAAUUACUGGGCGUAAAGCGCGCGUAGGUGGCUUGAUAAGCCGGUUGUGAAAGCCCCGGGCUCAACCUGGGAACGGCAUCCGGAACUGUCAAGCUAGAGUGCAGGAGAGGAAGGUAGAAUUCCCGGUGUAGCGGUGAAAUGCGUAGAGCUCGGGAGGAAUACCAGUGGCGAAGGCGGCCUUCUGGACUGACACUGACACUGAGGUGCGAAAGCGUGGGUAGCAAACAGAAUUAGAUACCCCAGUAGUC